rnacentral:sRNA from 1 species
UAAUUUGUAUACAAAGUACAAAAGGCCA